AGAUUGGAAGCAGGCAGUCACUGGUCGUGGACAGGAAGACUCUCUCCGGCCAUCUCAGGUUGUACUUUCCCCAGCUGGCCCUAUGGCGGAGGCUAGGCCAGCUGAGCUGCAUGUCCAGACCUGCUCUGAAUCUGCGCUCCUGGCUGCUGACCAUCCUCCACUACCUCCUGCCCUUCCGUGUGCUCGGGCCCCACAGCCAGGUGGGAUGGAGGCCCCUGAGCAGGGUGUUCCUGUAUAAAACUGUGCCAACGAGUUUGCUGUCAUGUGCCUGUGGUCGCCUCAACAAAGUAGAACUUCCUUACUGGCUCUGGAGGCCAGUCUACAGCCUGUAUAUCUGGACCUUUGGGGUGAACAUGACUGAGGCUGCAGUGGAGGACCUGCACCACUACCGCAACCUCAGCGAGUUUUUCCGGCACCAGCCCAUCAGAUGGCAAGAUCCUCACCUUUGGGCAGGUGAAGAACUCUGAGGUGGAGCAGGUAAAGGGCGAAACCUACUCCUUGGAGUCCUUCCUGGGCCCUCGAACCAGUACAGAAGACCUGCCCUUCCCUCCAGCUUCUUCCAGUGACUCCUUCAGAAACCAGCUGGUCCCCCAAGAAGGGAAUGCGCUCUACCACUGUGUCGUCUACCUGGCCCCAGGAGACUACCACUGCUUCCACUCCCCCACUGACUGGACCGUCUCACAUCGGCGCCACUUCCCAGGUCUGCCCAGGGGUGGGCAUUAGAGGCCCUUGGCCUUUUGACUUGAGAGGACUGGGCUUGAGGCUGGUGUCGUCAAGGCCAGGAGAGGACUUCUUGAGGUGGCUGGCUAUAGGCGAGGGUAUCUGGGGUCCUGCUUAGAAUUUGGACCGCUUGACCUGUGAGUCCCUGUGGCUCUUCGGCCAUUCUGAUGUGAACAUGUCAGGGGCUGAGCAGAAAGUAGCAUAUUCUCUUGUCUCUUCAGGUUCCCUGAUGUCAGUGAACCCUGGCAUGGCCCGAUGGAUCAAAGAGCUCUUUUGUCACAAUGAGCAUGUAGUCCUAACUGGAGACUGGAAAAAUGGGUUCUUCUCGUUGACAGCAGUGGGAGCCACCAAUGUGGGCUCUAUCCAUAUCCACUUUAACUGAGUGAGCAAAGCCCACAGGCUAAACCUCUUGGGUCCAACCACUUCAUUUACUGUACAGCCUUACCUUUGGGCUUAUAAAUUUUGUAGUGCAGGAGGGAUGAUCUAGCUCUGACCAGGCUGGACUCUACAGACAUCCAUACCAGCCCAGCCUCCCUCUCCCUGUUGCCCAAUCUGUGGCCAUUCACCUGCCUGAACCAAUCCCACAUCUUAACACACGGCUUCUGCCAGGAUCCCUGAUCAGAAGCAAGGAUGGAGCCUGCAGGAGGGUAGAGUUGGCUUGGGUGAGAAAAUCUGGUACCCACUCUGCCUUUUUAGGUUUUAAUGGCUGCUGCUGGCACUAGCCUUUCAGCAUUUAUGUCUAACCCCUGCCCCUCCUUGUCAAAGUCACAGCUGAUACUGGGAGUGUUGAUUAGUUAGGCCUUUGUCUCUGCCACCUGGGCUGGGCAGAGUUGAGGACAGGCUCAACCUUCUUGUUCCUAGGACUUGCACACAAACAGCCCCAGGUACAGCAAGGUACUACAAUGACCUGAGCUUUGUAACAAGGAGGGCAUUCCCAUGCACAAGGGUGAGCCCCUGGGCGAGUUCAACCUGAGCUCCACAUCAUGCUCAUCUUCGAGGCACCCAAGGACUUCAACUUGAGGCUGAAGGCAGAACAGAAGAUCUGCUUUGCAGGAGCACUGGGCUCCCUCUAGUCCUCUCGGUUGUGGCUGCCAAAGGAUCUUUCCACACAGGAGCAUGAGGGUCUUUAGCGGAGCCCCAGGAUGUCUAGGUGAGGGGCACUGUGGGGCUGACCUUAUAAGACCUGAAUGAUGUGUUCCUGCCUGUCCAUGGGUGCAGAGGAGAGGUUCUGGGUCUCUCAGGACCUAGGCCCCUUUUCUGAGUAUGGGUGGGUGUGAUUUGACCCCAAAGUCACUUUAAGGGGUGUUUUAAAUUUUUGUACAAGCCAGAGCCUCCCACCCCUAACUCCUGGCUGUGUACUACCACACCCUCUAGCUGCGCCCCGACCCGUCACAGGGCUCUCUCACUGUGCACAGGGUGACGUGCCUGCUGGGCAGAGACUGUGGAUCCACUGUCUUCCUAGAGCAGGCCACAUGGCCUUCAUAACUGCUUUCUGCUCCCAAAUUUCACCUAUCUGCAUGCUGGAAAAGUAAAAUCAUUUAUAUAUUGCUGGA
rnacentral:lncRNA from 1 species